GCGGGCGUGGCGGAAUUGGUAAACGCGCCAGAUUUAGGAUCUGGUACCUUCGGUUUGGGGGUUCGAGUCCCUCCGCCCGCACCA
rnacentral:tRNA from 1 species